rnacentral:rRNA from 1 species
GAUGAACGCUGGCGGCGUGCCUAAUACAUGCAAGUCGAGCGAACGGACGAGAAGCUUGCUUCUCUGAUGUUAGCGGCGGACGGGUGAGUAACACGUGGAAAACCUACCUAUAAGACUGGGAUAACUUCGGGAAACCGUAGCUAAUACCGGAUAAUAUUUUGAACCGCAUGGUUCAAAAGUGAAAGACGGUCUUGCUGUCACUUAUAGAUGGAUCCGCGCUGCAUUAGCUAGUUGGUAAGGUAACGGCUUACCAAGGCAACGAUGCAUAGCCGACCUGAGAGGGUGAUCGGCCACACUGGAACUGAGACACGGUCCAGACUCCUACGGGAGGCAGCAGUAGGGAAUCUUCCGCAAUGGGCGAAAGCCUGACGGAGCAACGCCGCGUGAGUGAUGAAGGUCUUCGGAUCGUAAAACUCUGUUAUUAGGGAAGAACAUAUGUGUAAGUAACUGUGCACAUCUUGACGGUACCUAAUCAGAAAGCCACGGCUAACUACGUG